CGCGGGAUGGCGCAGCCUGGUAGCUCGUCGGGCUCAUAGCCCGAAGGUCGUCGGUUCAAAUCCGGCUCCCGCAACCA
rnacentral:tRNA from 1 species